AAGUUCCAUGAGGGCAGGACUUUCUGUGGCCUCCAGUACCUUGAUAAAUGCUGACAUGCAGUAGUUGUUUAAAUGACGGUGGAAUAAAUGAAGACACAGGUGAUCUCUAUUCACAUGGGCCUCCUGAGAAAUCCUGUUCAGGGUCCCAAGAGUUCUACAAGAUCACGUGUAGCUAGAACAUAUCAGACCUUCUUGCUUUCUUCGUUGAUCUCCUGCAGACCCAAUCUGCGGAUGAGGACGCUGAGGCUGUGUGGGUAUCUGCUUGCCAGAGACAACAGUCGGUGGCAGGCUUGAGCCUGGUUCUGUGGCUGAGAGUUCCAUUUUCUCCAUGGCUACCUCUUCCAGGAUACUACCAUCUCAUGUUCCCUCUUGAUCUUGGACUGCCACCAAGAGUCUGCAUAUUUCAAAAUUGAGAACAAGAAGUUUCAGACCUUAAACUCAGUCCAGUUAGGGGAGGUGGUAUUCUUAGACCUAAACACACAUGGAUCAGAAUGUCAUUUCUUUUAAGGCUGGUCAGCUAGGUUGAAAGCCUCAGUUCCCUAAUUGGAGAAAUAGGUAUACUUCUAAGGUAUAGCCUUGAAAAUGUAAAACAUUCUCCUGUGCAGAUGUGAAUAGUUCUAAGUGUCUUUCUGCCCCCCACACCGUGGUCAGGCCAUAAUUCACUUAUUGAAUGAACAUUAAUAAAAGACUAAAGUUUGAACAAUAGCCAGGGAGCACUUCUUUGCCUUUUUUUUUUUCCCUUCCCUAAUCCCACCUAUGACUAGACACCUUGAGUGACCCUCACCUAUCUCUUUCAAACGGAUUUGGUAAGAAUUUGAUUAAAAUUGUUUAGCAUUAUUUUUAUUUUUUUUUAGAGACAGGGUCUCACUCUGUCAUCCAGGCUACAGUACAGCCGUGCAAUCAUGGCUCAUUGCAGGCUCAACCUCCUAGCUCAAGUGAUCCUCCUGAGUAGCACAAGUAUGUGCUACCAUGCUGGGCUAGUUCUUUAAUGUCUUUGUAGAGACAAGGGUUCACCAUGUUGACCAGGCUGGUCUCGAAUUCCUGGCCUCAAGCCAUCCUCCUCGGCCUCCCAAAGUGCUGGAAUUAUUGGCGUGAUCCAGAACAACUGGCCAAAGUUGUCUAGCAUUCAGCUGCUCUGGAACCCACCCCUGCUUCUCCUUUUCCCCUACUUUCUAAAUAUCCGACCCUGUGUUAAUUGCUUUAUGCUAUUUCAGCCUCAUGACCCUGGAUGGCAGGUGUGGUCCCAUUUUACCCAUGAGGGAGCUGAAGCUCAGAACUGGAACAGUUUGCUAAAGUUCACCCAGUUAAUGACUGGAUUAGGAUUUAGCCCUGCCUUAUUCAGGUUCUGUUCUCAGAUCAUGAUCACACCAGGCAUGGGUGUCUUCAUGUCCAGCACUCUGAACAUGAGCUAGACUGAAGGUGACUUGGAAAGGCCUCAGAGUCUAGAACAGCAGUCUCAAGGGGCAGAGCCACGUGGUGGAGAUUAAUCUGGUUGGUCCAAAGUAGCAGUAGAAAAAUAGAAGGCCUUAUGAAAUAAGCUGGGGUUUCGCAUGAGAAAGUAGGGAGAUUCCGGGCAUCUGAGAUAGAAUUGCAGGUCCUUGCCCUAGUUCUGAUCAUGUUGGCAUCAUCUGUUCCUAUUUGCGAAUUGCUCUAGAAUUGAUGAAGUGCUUUUAGUGCCACUACCUCAGUGGUAUUCCAGUGUUAUUACUGAAGAAAACAGGCAUAAGGAAACCAAUCCCUUCCAGGCCAGCAUUGGAAUAUGGGGGUGCAGGGAGGGGUAUACUCAUGUUUUAUUUUUAUUUAUUUAUUUAUUUUUGAGAUGGAGUCUUGCUCUGUCACCCAGGCUGGAGUGCAGUGGUGCAAUCUGGGCUCACUACAACCUCUGUCUCCCGGGUUCAAGCAAUUCUUGUGCCUCAGCCUCUCGACCUUGAGUAGCUGAGAUUACAGGUAUGCACCACCAUGCCCGGCUAGUUUUUUUAUUUUUUAGUAGAGAUGGGAUUUCACCAUGUUGGCCAGGCUGGUCUGAAACUUCUCACCUCAAAUGAUCUGCCUGCUUUGACCUCCCAAAGUGCUGGGAUUACAGGCAUGAGCCACCAAGCC